CACCUUCAGCAGUUGAAGCUGCCAGCAUGAUCUGUGCUUACCUUCUAUUGGCAGGAAUAGAUCAUAUGGCAGCUUCACCUCUUGACUGG
rnacentral:pre_miRNA from 1 species